AGCACAGACCCUUCGAUUUAUGUCGACAGCUGUAUUUACUAAGUAGAAGAAGGAUCACAGGGAAACGUCAGCUAACUGGACAGAAAUGGUAAGAAAAUAAGCAGAUUAAACGUAAAAGCUGAAUUAAAGUGAGAAACUUUGGUUUAUCACUAAACUUUGGACACUUAACCUUAACUGUAGGAUAAUUUGCUGAAAGCUUUUAUCAAUUCGACCCCAGUGAAGCUACGUCGGCUAACUUAAGCGUAAAUCGGUUUAUUUCAACAGUUAUAUGAAACAUGCUUGAGAUUUUAGCCAGACUUAAGUUUGAUGUUUUGGUUUUUAUAUUCAGUUUUUCAAGUAUGUCUUCGAGUAUAACCAAUUUUUCUUUUUAGAUUGCUAAUGCACGAAAACUCUGCCAAAACACUCUUGUUUUUAGAAAUGGAAAACAGUUCAUCUCCUAAAGGUCCUCUCUCAGUUAGUCUUAUAGAUGUAGCUUAUACAUCUUGAUAUUACGAUAUUUCCUUAAAGUGCACGAAUAUCGUGGACAGCACAGAGUAUUCACGGUCUCAAUGUAUUUGAUGUAUAUGAUGCAAAUAUUGUCAAAUUAACACAAAGAAUAUAAAGCUGUAAUAUAUUUGAAUGAAGUUUCGGCGGGCGCUCUUUAAGAAGCAGACUUAGUUUGCUUUAGCAGGGCUGUGACUGACCUGUCAGUUCAGGUAUGCCAGUGAAAAUGUCCCAGCUUUUUUCUGGGCGGUAAGAUGAGAAAAUGUGCUAUCUUUUCGGCAUAACAGUACAUUUAAAUAGGACAAAUUCAAUUAAAUUGUACAUAUUUCGGCAGAUAUAACAAUGUUACUGAAAAAUCAAUGUAAUAUUCUGUAAAGACAGUGAUAAACAACACAGAAAUGUGGGUUUUGAAAGUAGGACUUUGUUUUACUCUCCAGCUAUAAGCAGAUGACUCAAAAACUGCUGUAUCCAAACACCGUUUUUGCCCUUUACUCAUGCAGUUUAGGAAAAAUGGAUCUGACUCACUCAGACUUUUAACCCAGAAAAUAAUAUUGUAAACCAAGGGUAACCAAGAGGGAUAUUUAAAGGUCAACCCACUAAAUAAGUAAAGACUCAUACCAACAGCUUUAUGACGUUUUCUGUGGAUUUGGAGAAGCAACAAGGUAUGGUGUAUAAAAAAGAGUCAUUAUGUGUAAUGAAAAGGCUGGUUAACUUUAAAGAAAGAUCAUGUAUCAGAAAUGUUGGAUUCAGAGGAUAACUGGGAAAACCCAGCCUCAGCUGCUUCUAUUUAAACUGUAUGUACUGGAAAUGAUCAUUGUACCAUGUUGAUCAAUGACAAAAUAUAGUUUCCCCCCAGUUUGAGAAUUACAAAGAGAAUUAUAAAAAGAUAAACCUUUGAUAGUCCCACUCAGUCGGGAAGUUCAAAGCCAUACACCUCAUACACACUGUGCACAUUCAUGCUAUUAGUAUUUCUUUACCAGCCUGUUGGCGGCAAGCUUGAUUUAACAGUCUGACUGCAGUGGGAAAGGAGGGUCUACACUCUAGACUCUAGAGACAGGAGACACUGGUUUAUUGUUUUUUUGUGCUGGGCCUUCAGAUCAAUGUAUGUUACACAAAAUGCUUCCCAAAUUGACAAAAUUACAAAUGAAAUGGGGGGAAAUGAAACAUAAGACCCCAACAAGGUUCUCCUGCUCACCCGAUGUUUCUUCGAUUUCAGGCGACAGGUGUGGAUCAAGCUGUGGGCAUGAGUCUGGUGGUCUUCAGCCUGGUGUUGUUUACGUAUUACUCUGUGUGGGUCAUCGUACUGGUGCGUGCUGUUUGUGUCUGAGAUCCUAGACUCAUUGAUAUAGAGACAGAGUUUAUUAUAGUUCUAGAAGUCAAAGUUGCAGGUGUCAAACUGGUAACCUUGACCUCCACUUAAUAGUCAUUUAUAGUUUAAGUCACUUUCAUAACAUAAAAUUUCAACCUAAAAGAUAGGAUGGCCUAUUCCCAUGAUGACAUUUCAUUUUAUUCAUUCAUCAACCAAAUUUUAAAUCUUCAAAUGUUUACAAGUUGUAACACAUUCAAUUAUCUGUUUUAAACCUCUGUGUAAGAAAUCGUAAGACUGAGAUUCAUGAGGCGAUAUUUUCUUCUCCUGCAGCCUUUUGUGGAUGGCGAUCAUGUGCUUCACAAAUAUUUUCUUCCUCGGGAGUAUUCAGUCAUUCUUCCAGGCAUCGCAGCAGUCAUACUGUUGAUCUGUAUAGGUGAGAAAACUAUUAUUCUAAAACAAAGCCCACAUUCAGGAAUUGUCUGGGAAGACCUGGAAAAUACUUCUCGGUCCAGAGAUGUCUCUGGUGUUUCUGGAUGGAGUUUCUAUCUGGUCUCCUCUUUGCAUGGUUCAGUUUUAACCUCAUUUGUGGAUGCAGUGAUGAACUGUGUUCAUAGACAAUGGUUUUUUUAAGUGAUUUGAAGCUCAUGCAGUGAUUUCCAUUACUGCAUGAUACUAUGUUUUGAUGAAAUCAACUCAUUCUUUAAAAUUUGACACUCAGAAACAUUAUUCUGAUUCUAUUAUUAUUGUUCGUGGAAUUUUGGUAGUGAAAUUUGUCCAUUUUUAACAUUUUUAGUGUUACUUCUUAGUUAAUUUCAGGGUGAAAUAAAGAUAGACUACAUGGUUUUCAAAGCCUUAGUAUCUGUUUAUCACAUUUACACUGUCCCAGCUUUUGGGAGUAUGACUUGUACAUAUAGAGCUGAUUUAAAGCUGAUUUUAUGUUCCCCUGAGUUUUUUCAGUCCAUUAAACACAUGAUCACAUGUAAGAUUUUGUGAUAAACUGCCCAAUACUGUAAGUUUAGUAAGAAGUUGGUCUUCAAAGACAUAUCUAACAAAGGCUCUUAGCUGGUUUAAACAGAUUUUGGCUUGUACUUUUGUUGCUGUUGUUGCAUAAUAGUUGAUAGACAAAUCAAAAAGUUGAUUUUUGACUCUGGAAAUCUACGUACUAUAAUCCACUAUCAUAGUGUGGAAACUGAGCAAAUUUAAUGUUUUUUUGCCGCUGGAUUCAAAGUUAACACGGUCUUUAUCUUUUCUCAGGGGCCUUCACUGCGGUGGUUUUGUGGAAGAAUCGCAAACCAAAGAAAGUGGACUAAACCGAGGAGUGUCAGGGAUUAAAAAUUGUAAAACAAACAACAACAUUUGGACAUUAACACACCUUCAUUUAUAAGUAACAGCCCCUCAAAAAAUUGGAACAUUUGCUAAGUUCUCUCUGUUGAAUGUGUUUUCGAGGGAAUCUGCUAAGAAUGUAUCAAAGCUGUUUAUGGUACCAAGAACUGCUCAUCUUCAUUUGCCCCCUCUUUCUCCUUCGUCUCAAGAUCUAAUUCACCAAGUCUCCUUGCCUCAGAGUACCCAGUUCCCCCAAAAUGUUAUAGCUCUUUGCAGUUUGCUCAUGUGAAGAGUUGAGCUGUUAGCAUCCAAUGACCCGGAGACCAACCUGCUGUGUGACACUAAACUAAUAAAUCUGUUUUGUUAUGACUUAUGAUGUUGUUAAAUACAACAAAGAGGGCAGUAUGUGGCAAAAAGAGUGAAGCCAUGUAAAGUUAUUUUACUGUUACUUUGAGUCAUAUAGUUUUGACCUGUGAGGUUCCUGGAAAGGUCUGAGUAAAGACGUCACGUAGAGGCUUCAUGUCUGUAAUAGGUUUGAAAAAACACGCUGACACAAAGAUGGUUUUAUCAGCAGCUGUGUUUUAUUGUCCUGUGGGUAAUUUAUUUAUCUAAGUGGUGAAUCUACGUGAUUUUGAAAUGUUUGAAGAGUUUCCUACGUCUGCUGGAUUUUCCAGUUUACCAAGAAAAGUCAUGAUAAAUUACUUCCACUGGUGCGAAACGAAAAUCAGGUAUUUGGUGUUUUUUAAUGAGACACACUCAUGCUGAUAUGUGUCACUUUUGGUUUUGUUUUGAACUGCGGUUGUGUUUGGCUGUUUGACAGAUGAUUGGGUCCUGCGGUGAAAAGGUAGAGCGUGUCACUCAAAAAACAUGUUUUAGCUGAUUAAUUAAUGACCUAACUCCAGGCAGCUGACCAGCUUUUAGUGCUUCAUUCUCUGUCUGGGUUACACAAGUUUCUCUCCAUUUAAAAAAAAAAAAAAAGAACUUCUUGUUCUGGAAAUUUAACACUGAAACAUUGUUUCUCCUUUAUUUUGGACAAUAUUCUGAUCAAAAGUGUUACAGCUUAAGGUACAAUAUACGUCACAUGCAGAAUAAUCUUUAACACUGCGAAUAAGCAGUAACUCGUCAGUUUUUAUAGUCUUUGAAAGUGUGAACGUUGAUUAGAGUAAGAUGUCAGAGCACUGAGUCCGACAACCCUCUGUAAUGUGUUUAAUAAAAUAAAAACCCGUUAAAUCACC